rnacentral:rRNA from 1 species
GACGAACGCUGGCGGCGCGCCUAACACAUGCAAGUCGAACGAGCGAGAGAGAGCUUGCUUUCUCGAGCGAGUGGCGAACGGGUGAGUAACGCGUGAGGAACCUGCCUCAAAGAGGGGGAAAACAGUUGGAAACGACUGCUAAUACCGCAUAAGCCCACGACCCGGCAUCGGGUAGAGGGAAAAGGAGCAAUCCGCUUUGAGAUGGCCUCGCGUCCGAUUAGCUAGUUGGUGAGGUAACGGCCCACCAAGGCGACGAUCGGUAGCCGGACUGAGAGGUUGAACGGCCACAUUGGGACUGAGACACGGCCCAGACUCCUACGGGAAGCAGCAGUGGGGAAUAUUGCACAAUGGGGGAAACCCUGAUGCAGCGACGCCGCGUGGAGGAAGAAGGUCUUCGGAUUGUAAACUCCUGUUGUUGAGGAAGAUAAUGACGGUACUCAACAAGGAAGUGACGGCUAACUACGUG